CGCUUCACCCUGCUGCCUCCGACCACCAUGCCGGACACGCCUGGAGCUCCCUUGCUGCGGAGGCGACUGGUGACCGGUGGUCAACGAUGUUCAGCACUUUUGUACGGGACACAAAAACUCAAGAUCGAAAUGACAGUUUGGCUGGCCUGAUAUGGUUCCUGAAAUGGUCCGAAGGAGCAUCUUAUGCUUACAGUUUUCUUGGUGAACCAUAAAAAUUUAAACCAAUUACCAGCUUUACAUCUUGCCGAAGCCAAGAAGGUGUUUCUGGAAGGACCAUUCACUUGUCUAGCCAAGGAUGAUGAAUCUAAAUUCAGGAGACCUUCGCUUAUGUUGCCCCAUGUUGGAAAAAUCCGAAUACAUUCUUCCUCAGCAUCACUGUGCUUAUGUCGCCAAGAUUCUAGUUCCAUUAUCGGCUUGUCAGCCUCCAAGUAUAGUGCAAACAUCAUUUACAUUGAUUUCUGUGGAAACCAUGUUAAGUUUUUUUCUCUCCAGAGAAUAACAUAUUUAGGGGAUGUAAUGUCCUAUGAACUUCUAAAUUUUCAAGGCCGA